GUUAUAUAGUCAAGCAACUAAGCGCAUACGGUGGAUGCCUUGGCAGUCAGAGGCGAUGAAAGACGUGGAAGCCUGCGAUAAGGUUCGGGGAGCUGGCAAACGAGCUGUGAUCCGGACAUCUCUGAAUGGGGAAACCCACCUAACUUCGGUUAGGUAUCUUACACUGAAUCCAUAGGUGUAAGAGGCGAACCGGGGGAACUGAAACAUCUAAGUACCCCGAGGAAAAGAAAUCAACCGAGAUUCCCUAAGUAGCGGCGAGCGAACGGGGACCAGCCCUUAAGCUGGACAACUGGUAGGAGAAGGCCCUGGAAAGAGCCGCCAUAGUGGGUGAUAGCCCCGUAUCCGAAACCUGAGUCCAGUGAAAUCGAGUAGGUCGGCGCACGAGAAACGUUGACUGAACAUGGGGGGACCAUCCUCCAAGGCUAAAUACUCCUGACUGACCGAUAGUGAACCAGUACCGUGAGGGAAAGGCGAAAAGAACCCCUGUGAGGGGAGUGAAAUAGACCCUGAAACCGUAUGCGUACAAGCAGUCGGAGCAGACUUGUUCUGUGACGGCGUACCUUUUGUAUAAUGGGUCAGCGACUUAUGUUCAGUGGCGAGGUUAACCGUUUAGGGGAGCCGUAGGGAAACCGAGUCUGAAUAGGGCGAAUCAGUCGCUGGGCAUAGACCCGAAACCGGGCGAUCUAUCCAUGAGCAGGUUGAAGGUGCCGUAACAGGCACUGGAGGACCGAACCCACUGUCGUUGAAAAGCCAGGGGAUGACUUGUGGAUCGGAGUGAAAGGCUAAUCAAGCCCGGAGAUAGCUGGUUCUCCCCGAAAGCUAUUUAGGUAGCGCCUCGGACGAAUACCACAGGGGGUAGAGCACUGUUUCGGCUAGGGGGUCAUCUCGACUUACCAACCCGAUGCAAACUCCGAAUACCUGUGAGUACUAUCCGGGAGACACACGGCGGGUGCUAACGUCCGUCGUGAAGAGGGAAACAACCCAGACCGCCAGCUAAGGUCCCAAAGUACCAGUUAAGUGGGAAACGAUGUGGGAAGGCUCAGACAGCUAGGAGGUUGGCUUAGAAGCAGCCAUCCUUUAAAGAAAGCGUAAUAGCUCACUAGUCGAGUCGGCCUGCGCGGAAGAUGUAACGGGGCUCAAACUGGUCACCGAAGCUGCGGCUGCAUACAUUGUAUGCGGGGUAGGGGAGCGUUCUGUAAGCCUGCGAAGGUGAGUUGAGAAGCUUGCUGGAGGUAUCAGAAGUGCGAAUGCUGACAUGAGUAACGACAAUGCGGGUGAAAAACCCGCACGCCGGAAGACCAAGGGUUCCUGCGCAACGCUAAUCGGCGCAGGGUGAGUCGGCCCCUAAGGCGAGACCGAAAGGUGUAGUCGAUGGGAAACGGGUUAAUAUUCCCGUACCUUGGAUAGCUGCGAUGGAGAGACGGAGAAGGCUAGGUGAGCCGGGCGACGGUUGUCCCGGUUUAAGCGAGUAGGGAGUGGGCUUAGGCAAAUCCGGGUCC
rnacentral:rRNA from 1 species